CCUACGGGGGGCAGCAGUGAGGAAUAUUGGUCAAUGGACGCGAGCCUGAACCAGCCAAGUAGCGUGAAGGAUGACUGCCCUAUAGGUUGUAAACUUCUUUUAUAAGGGAAUAAAAUGUUCCACGUGUGGGUUUUUGUAUGUACCAUAUGAAUAAGGAUCGGCUAACUCCGUGCCAGCAGCCGCGGUAAUACGGAGGAUCCGAGCGUUAUCCGGAUUUAUUGGGUUUAAAGGGAGCGUAGGUGGGUUGUUAAGUCAGUUGUGAAAGUUUGCGGCUCAACCGUAAAAUUGCAGUUGAAACUGGCAGUCUUGAGUACAGUAGAGGUGGGCGGAAUUCGUGGUGUAGCGGUGAAAUGCUUAGAUAUCACGAAGAACUCCGAUUGCGAAGGCAGCUCACUGAACUGCAACUGACACUGAGGCUCGAAAGUGUGGGUAUCAAACAGGAUUAGAUACCCUAGUAGUC
rnacentral:rRNA from 1 species